rnacentral:rRNA from 1 species
UACAGAGGCCUCGAGCGUUAGGCGGAAUCACUGGGCUUAAAGCGUGUGUAGGUGGAUGCCUAAGUACCUUGUGAAAUCCCACAGCUUAACUGUGGAACUGCUUGGUAUACUGGGUGUCUUGAGCCACUCAGGGGCUACUGGAACAAACGGUGGAGCGGUGAAAUGCGUAGAUAUCGUUUGGAACGCCAAUGGUGAAAACAGGUAGCUGGGGGUGUGCUGACACUGAGACACGAAAGCCAGGGGAGCAAACGGG